GCUAUCUGUUUGAUUAAAAAUAAUCUGGCUGUUAUUUGCUCAUUGCUACACAGAUGCAAUAAAAAGAAAUGCUUUUUAAUUUCCUCUAGAAGCCAAGGAAGGUAACAGGAUCACAAGCACUAAAGAAAGCACAUACCAGAGAAACAAUAGCCGACAAUUUAAAUUCUUCAUUUCUAAUAUGUAAUUUUUUUUUUGGGGGAGCUUAGCACUUUGUGCAUCACAUAGCAUAUUUGUCCAUGGCUACACAGGGUACUUAUUUCACAGCAGCAUAAUGGCCAAAGCAGUAAGCCGUAGCUCUCAUCAGUCCAUCUAAUGAUCGAUCAAAUGAAAAUAUAAAUACAAAAAGAAAGUCUACAUUGAUCCCCACUGCACCAGAUUUCUCUCUCUAUAUAUUUUUUUUUUAAAUAAAAAGAAAACCUGAAAACAUUAACUCCUAUGGAAAUAAAAUGUACAUAUAUCUAUCUGAAUCUCAAACUACCUGCUUCAGUCUGUAAUAACAAGUCAUUACCUUCUUUUCUUCCUAAAUGAAAGCUUUUCCUUGUAACUUGCACACCAAUGUUCAGCAACACUAAACAUCAUAACAACCAUAUGUCAAACAUCUUCCCUGUAUAUAGUUUCACCCAUGGUUACCUGCUUCACUUAAUGUUCAAUAAAAAGGUAACAGAAUCCUCACCCUGGCAACACCAACAAUGUAUAGUUGCUUUGGGUGCAGAUUACUUUUGUCAGGAGGAAAUUAGCAACAAUUAUUGCACCUGCAGUAUUAGUGAGCCCAUAUAGCAAUGUACACGUUAACUAUGAUGGUUGUCUCUCUGCAUCCCCAUUUGACAUAACCACUUUACAUGCUGCUUUUGAUGGUGGUCUAUUGAUCUUCUCAAGUAACCUACUGAAAACUAAUUUAACAGGUAUACAAGCAACUGUGGUUGGCCUAGAUGUCUCAGGUUUAAUAUGCCCAUCCAUUUGACUAGUACUGGUAUAAUGUAAGGGCUUACCGAAACUCUGUUGAACAGAAAUUGAGGAUAGGGUUCUUGUUUUUUGGUUAGAUGAUAAGCAUGCUUUCUUAGCCAGCUUUCUUGGGAAUUUCCUAUCCAUUGAAGGCCGAGAAAUGUGGGGAAGGCUCUUCCGUACCAAGCUUGCCUUGUGACUGAAACUCCCUAUACUUAACUUCCUAAAUGGCAACCUUGCUCCUUGAUCUAUAAAUGGAGGAUCCUCAGCAGCAUCCUCAGCACCCAACACAGAUGAUAAAUGCGGGCGUGGGACCCUGAAGUUGGUCCUUCGAGCAGUCCUCCAAGCUGGUGGAAGUGAAGUAUUUCCAUCAUGGUCAACUGCUUCAGUGCCAUGAUAAUCAUUUGCAGAAAUAAGAGUUUCUGAUGAACCAUCUUCCAGGGCUUCAAUUUGGAUUGGAUGCCCUACUAUUGCCUUCCCAUUUAACUUGCUCAUAAGAGAAACAAUAGGAACAAGUUCUUUUUGAUAGCUCGCUUGGACCUUUAAAUCCACAUCUACCAACAUGGAUCUCGCCCUUCCACCAAAAUGAUGACGGCCAAAAAAUGAUGAAUUGAAGUGUUCUGCCCUGUCCUCCCAAUGUCCUUUAAAAGCAGGAUGAUCCUCCCAAGCCAUGUCCCUCCAAUCAAUAAUAUUAUGACCAGAAUUAUUUCUACCUUUGGAUGCAUACCUGGAUGCAUAUGAAUAACGACCAUUAUACUGCCCAGCCAUUUUGGUCCCAAUAUAUUUUCUGCCCAAAUCAGCAUCAUCAAAACCAUAUCCUCUUUGACCCAAAGUGCUACCCUUUAUCCCAUGGUAGGUUCCAUGAAGAGGACCAUUUAAAACUUUUCCAUCUCUAUCUAGAGACUUUUUUGUAAGGUGCCGAAUAUUCCUUUUUCCUUUCAAUUGCCAUUUGGACACCGCCUCGUUAGCAAGAAAAGGAUAAUCAGGAUAAAGAUGAGACAUUUCACCAGAAAAUGCUAAUUCAUCAGGAUCCUCACUGCUUGCACUUCCAUGUUCUCCUGGCACCUCAGGUUGUCUCAUAGCAUUCCGUUCAGCUACUGUAGGCAUAACAGUACCUGAACAGACAAGCAAAAGGCUAAUUAGACCAAAAUAAAUAAAUAACACGAUGCAUAUAUAAAAUUAAAAUGAACAAGCAAAAACAAAACCCUGCAUAACAAACCAAAUUUAAUAAUAAAGAACACCAGCAAGUACCAUAAACAUUUACAUGAAUAUAAACACAACAUCUGUAAUUAUGGCACGCACCCCUAUGUCCACAGAAUGUGCAAGGACCAUAUUUUACACAAAAAAGGAAAACGCAUUCGAUGAGGAAGGCCACUAGAUCCACACAAUGUGCAAAUUUGUAAAAUAGAGGUCCUAGCAAACAAUAACAAAGCAAUUACAGUACAUCUGUUGCAAUAUCAAUGGUUUUGUAGACAUCCACAAGCACUAGUAAUAGCUCACCUAUAGCAGCUAUCCUAGACCUUAAAAGGGAAGGGACGAAAUGAUGGAACAGGAAUAAAGAGAGAGUUGAGAAGGAAUCUUAACCAACCACCAAGAAGAAAAAUAGAAAGAAAAUAAUGAAAUAAGUUUCCAGCCAAUAUCUACUUAAAUCACAAAUGUAAGUGCAGUUGUUGUUUCCAUGUAGAUCCUGUCCUUUUCCCUAAUAUGUUUCAUGUAGUUUUACCCCGUUAAAUGAAAAAUUCAACAAAAUGCUCAAGUUUAAGUAAAAACUCAAGUGACAAAAUAUCCACAAAUUCCAUAUUAUUUCUAGAGUGAAGAACAUUUUGCGUGUUAUGAGAAUACAAGGUGCUUAGCCUAGUAAGAUUUUACAAGGCUAGGGACAUUGUUCACUACCAGUUAGAAAUAGACGAUUCUUGAUCGGAAAUUAGGAAAAAUAAUCAGCAAAGAUAGUGAAUUUCUGAAAUUGAACAGACAUUAUAAGCCACGAAGCAAACAAUUGAUCUCUCAAAUGUAUGCAUUGAAAAAUAAAUAAAGCAAUCAUCACUCAUUGGAAAAAUGGAGAUAAUGACAUAAAUAGGACCAGUAAAUACUUGACCUGGAAAAACAGUCAUCUCAUCAGUUACAUCAUGUUCAGUCUCAGAAGAAUCAGACUCAGACUGCGAAGAGUCAGUUUCAGAAGAGUCAGAUUCAACAUUUUCCAUAAAACCAGACGAAGAGUUCUGUUCAUUCAAGGAACUAUGAUGAGGAUGGUCAUCAUUAUCCUCAAACUUGGGAGGCAACAUCUUAAUCUGGUUUGGAGUAAGUUCUUUAUCAUCCAAAGAAUCACUAGAAUCAGCAGGAAAGUAAACACAUCUACUCCUCUUUGCCCGGGAAAUAGCUCCCAUCUCAUCAGCUCCAUUUGCAUAAUUUGUUCUUUCCAUGUUAGGGGAACCAACAGGAUGAAAUUGAAAGUGAUUAUCAGCCAUAGGUAUCAUAGAACCAUCUGAAUCACCAGAUGAUGGAAGCUUUCGCUUUAAAGGAGCAGUUCUGAGCCCAAAAUCCUGCAAUCCUCUCAUCCGUGGUGUUGCUUCAGAAUGAUCAUCUUCUGAGAUUGGCUGACUUCCAUCCUUGGCUUUAACAGGAUUGCCAAUAAUCUCAUCUUUAAUACUUGUAUUCAAUUUGGCAUUUCCAGUUUUUCCACUAUUAUUUGUCAAACCUUCUGAAGCAAUGCCAGGAUCCUUCUUUGUAUGCCCAGAUAAUUUACUUCUUUGGUGAUCAGCAGUUGCACUUGAUUUUACUUGUUUUUUCAACAGCUGUUUUUCAAGCUCAAGUGCAUGAAGAAUUGCAUCUUCUCGACGUGCAUAUUUCUCUCUUUUUUUUGUUGGCAUGCCCUGGGCAGAUUCAGCCCUUUCAAUGCAAUCAUCAAACUCACCACAUCGAAAUGCCUUAACACGCUUAGAUUUUUCUAAAUUGUACCAGUCCACACUAGCGUCUUCUCUUCCAAGGAGCUUGACCGGAGUCCCUGUUCGGGGAGAAGAGAGAUUACACUCUGCCAGCUCUUCGGGGCCCAUUAUCUUCCCCGGCCACCACGAGCCGUUCCUCCUCCUCACCCAAACGAUCGGUCCUAUACCACAAUCAGCCGCACCGGAUCCCGAACCCCCCAUCGCCACUCUCUCUCUCUCUCUCUCUCUCU
rnacentral:misc_RNA from 1 species